UACUGAUUAAAUUUAAUUAACAAUUAAGUAAUCAAAUUAGCAAAAUUAAUGCAAUUGACUUAGGAUCAAUAGAUAUAGGUGAAAUUCCUUUAUUUGAUAGAUAAAGGUGGCAGAUGAAGUGCAUUAGGUUUAAGCCCUAAAUAUAAAGAUGAAAUUUCUUUUCUUUAUA
rnacentral:tRNA from 1 species